UUCUAUAUAAGUCCCUAGACUUCCCCUGGAACUUUCCAGCGGUGCUUGGUCACGAUCUUGCUUCCCCUGCCCUUUCAGCUGGUCUCCUUGGGGAGCGGCUGCUGUGCUGAUUCUCAGGUCUGUGAACCUGUGGGAGCUGCCCCGCCCCCUGCCAAGUUCAUGGCUCAAUGGGAGCUGUUUAUCCUGUGAUGUGUCUGCUCCCUGGCUGCUCAGCUCCAUCCCAGGCACAGGGUGACAGGAGGAGGAGCAACAACAGCGGUGGUGGCCAGCUCUCCGGCUCUGAAGUCAGGUCCAGCAGUAACUUCCACAGCUCCCAGUCCACAGGGGCCUGGUUGUUCCUGGGGCAGGGGCGGGGGCUGCUGAUCUGUACAGCUUCGGGGCACUUUGUGGCCGGAGUGUCCCUGCUCUCCUGUGUCCUCCCGGCCUCCACCUGCCCCAGGGGAGCAUAGGAUCUUGGGCUAUGUCCCCUGGUGCCUUGUGCUCCGGGGCCUGCACUGCUGUAAUCAAGCUCCCAGGCUGUGCUGCCCUACAACCUGCAGAGCCGGUUAGUUAGGAGUGAUUGAUUGAUUUGGGGGAGAGAAAGGGAAAGGGAUGGAAAUAGAGAACAUGAGUGGGGACAGGGUUAGAAUGAGAAGUAGGCUACCCAUGAGCUAUAACACAACAUGGAGCUGAAUCCUGAACAUGGGAUCAUACCUUGUACACAAGGUGGACAAUUAAGUGACUGUUUCACUAGUAACGUUGAUAUCAUUAAGUAUCACUUCCAUUCAGAUCAUCUGGAAGAGAGUAAUGACCAAAGGAUCAUAGGGUGCAUCUAGAAGGACACAGAGUACCCAUCAGUACAUUUUUAUGCCACUCAAGAAUAACUCAGGUCAUGAUCUCUGGAUCCUGAAAUUGAACCCCAUGUUGAGUUCCGCAUUGGCUAUGGAGUCUGCUCUAGAUUUUCUUUUUCCCUCUGCCCCUCCUCUCCUCAUACUUUCUCUUUCUGCCUUAAAAAAAAUAAUAAAAUGAAUCAUUAUUCUAGUUUA